rnacentral:tRNA from 1 species
CCGUCACUAACUCAGCAGGAAAGAGUGCAUAGCGUUUAUUGUUAUGUGUGCGGGGUUCAAGUCCCCGGUGACGGUCCA